AAUUUGAUAACCGUGGUACCAUGAUACCACGGUAGAAUUUAUGGUUAUCAAGUUGGUAUUGUCCUGAUUCGGGAACGAAUUUAUAUUACAAUUUCACACUACACGACACGACACGGGAAGUUGUGAACCCGUCUUUAUUCUGAUAAAUAAAAAAAAAAAACAAUAACAAAACCUACUGUUUUGAAUUUGUUAUGAUUGUUAUCUGCCAAAAAUAUAUUUCAAACCUAGUAAAAUUCAAACUCGAAACACAGUAACUACUAGCAACGAUUUUUUUUUAAUUCUAAAAUGUUUAUAUUAAAUAACUAAUUGAAAAAAUAAUUAUGAACUGGGAUCACAAUUAUGCAUUACCAAGACGCAUACUUGACAACGUUGAAGAUAAUUGAGAUCUUGAUUUUAUUCCUAUUACUGUUAAUGAAGUUGAAGAAGUUGUAAAUGUUUUUGAUGACAGUGAUUUUGUUCCAAUUACUGAAGAUCAAGUUGAAGAAGUUGAAGAGGAUUUGGAUGACAGUAACUUUGAUCCUGAUUUAACCCCAAUUACUGAACAUCAAGAUAAUCAACUUAUUGGAGCUGCAAGGAAAAAAAGAAGUUUAGUCCGACAGAUAAGAAAGCAGUACUAAAAGAAAAAAGGGAAUUAAAGAAUGUCAAUGCCAAGACAAAACAUCUAAACCGUUCUUUUACAUGUCAUGUAAAGUGUAAAAAUAAGUGUAGAGACAAUCUAUCCACUAAUCAUCAAAAGUUUUUAUGGAAAACUUAUUGGUCUCUAACAACGUAUGUCCAGAGGAAACAAUUUUUAGCAAAAUGUUUAACAAUUACAUCUGUAAAACGUUGAAAAACAGUGGAGGGUUCUGUUGAUAGCUUUAAAAAGUCACAAUCCAGGGUUUAUAAGCUUCUAGACUCCAAAAAAAAUGAAGUACAGGCAUGUAAGACUACUUUUCUAAAUGUUCUUGGCUAUAAAAAUGAUUCUGUUUUAACAGAACUAGUAAAAAACAUGAACAGUAAUUUUUGUAUGUCAUCUGUUACUGAAAAUAGAGGAUAGAAAAAAAUUUAAAAAUGUAUACUCAAGGAUAUUGUAGCUGAUCAUAUACGGCU